CGCAGUUGCAGUAGCUUCGCUUCUGGCGCCCGCCUGGGCCAGGGGGCCACCGCCCCUCUUCCUCCGGGUCUUUACCAACCACAAUGUACAGCAGCAGUGGUGCCUUGGCCCUUCUUGUCCCUUAAGGGAGCACCAGGGACAGAUGAGUCCCCAGCCUGGCCUGCCCACUGCGCCCAGAGCCAGUAGGGAGUGGGGCUACAGCUCAGUGUGAGCAGCCUCCGUGCUUGCGCCACCUCCAGGGGCAACCUCGAUGCGCAGUCCAGCUGCAACCUCAUGUUCACGCCUGCCUGCCUGCCUAGUGCCUCUUGGCUGGGGCGGGGGGGGGGCAGAUCAGGCCCCCCACCCCCGAGCCCUGCUGAGAUAAAUGGGGGAGGCAGGGCACUCAGCAUGCAGGACUGGCUUCCGGGAGGUAGAUGCGGUGGGGGGGGGGCAGUGCAGAUGGGACAGGGGAGGGAGGCAGAAGAAACCAGGUGACACCUGCCAGGGAGCCCAAGAAGCAAGGAAAAGGACAAAUGCGACGUGGGAUCUGCAGGGAAAUUAAGUUUUUCUCUGGCAGACAAAUCAGUAUUUUUUUUUGGUACUGGGGAUCGAACUCAUGACCUUGCACUUGCAAGGCAGACAUGGUGCCAGCGAGCAAAGUCCCCAGCCCGAGAAAUCAGUAUUUUAAAUGCAGCCCAUUCCUGUCUUGUCACUGUGGCACUGGAGCCCCCAGUGCCAUCUCUGUGCUGCCGGGGCCCUCAGCCUCCCCUCACUUUGUGCUGGCCAUGAAGGCUCCAGUGUCCAAGCAAGACUUACCAUGGGGACUUGUGGACUGGACCUUGUGGCCCCAUAAUCCUACAGCUAUCAUAAUGGGGACACUUCUUUUUUUUUUUUUUUUUUUAAUAAAAAAGGUUUUACUCCCCAGGAGCAAAUAAAUCAUUUGAACUACUGAUAAACACUGCUGCAGUGAAAACAAAGAUGGCUACAUGUAUGCAAUAGCACAACUCAGUGUGAGAACAGCUGCGUGGACAAUCAGAGAUCAAAACCACUUACCCAUUCCCCUCCCCACAAACCCAACCCCGAGGAUUCCCAUAGGGAAAAUGUCUAACUCAAAGCCCUCCCCUUCACACAGGGGCGCGGUGCUCUCAGCUCUGGGGACAAACUAGGCUCCCCUGGGCUCCCCCGACUGGCAGCAGGACGUCUGCCGAUGGGGACGACAUGCAGCAGCCACGGGACCACAGCCUGGCGGGUGCCCUGUGCCCUGGCUCUGGGGCGCAGAAGGGCUAGGGAGCUCCCUCACCGAGGCACUUCUGGCUCCCGAAGCGUCCCACACCCAGCCUGGGCCACCCCUCCUCCCCACGCCACACAGGGAGGAGCAGGGGUCACAGAGGCAGCUCCUGCUCCAGGCUGGGACAUUCACUUCUGCCUCCACGCAGACGGAGACCAGGGGUGGUCACCAGCGGCCCCCAACUCCUCUAAAGGCCAGACGUCAUCACCCACUUACAGGCCCCACAUCGAAGCUCCGCCCUCCUCCUGUGCCCGACUUGACCCGGCACGUUUCAAGUAACAGCAGGUUGUAGCAGUAGUUGUCACUAGCACACAUCCUGGGGGCCACUGCAGGUCACACCCACAGCGGUCACUAGGAGGGAGGACCCUCCCCAGUGGUGACUACUGCAGCAGCCAGGACUAAAGGGGUCCCUCUGCACAGCAGCC
rnacentral:lncRNA from 1 species